rnacentral:rRNA from 1 species
CCUACGGGUGGCAGCAGUGAGGAAUAUUGGUCAAUGGACGAGAGUCUGAACCAGCCAAGUAGCGUGAAGGAUGACUGCCCUAUGGGUUGUAAACUUCUUUUAUAUGGGAAUAAAACGUUCCACGUGUGGGAUUUUGUAUGUACCAUAUGAAUAAGGAUAGGCUAACUCCGUGCCAGCAGCCGCGGUAAUACGGAGGAUCCGAGCGUUAUCCGGAUUUAUUGGGUUUAAAGGGAGCGUAGGUGGAUUGUUAAGUCAGUUGUGAAAGUUUGCGGCUCAACCGUAAAAUUGCAGUUGAAACUGGCAGUCUUGAGUACAGGAGAGGUGGGCGGAAUUCGUGGUGUAGCGGUGAAAUGCUUAGAUAUCACGAAGAACUCCGAUUGCGAAGGCAGUUCACUGGACUGCAACUGACACUGAGGCUCGAAAGUGUGGGUAUCAAACAGGAUUAGAUACCCUUGUAGUC